UACGUAGGGGGCAAGCGUUGUCCGGAUUUAUUGGGCGUAAAGAGCGUGUAGGCGGUUCGGCAAGUCGGAUGUGAAAUCUCCACGCUUAACGUGGAGGGGCCAUUCGAAACUGCUGUGACUCGAGUCCGGUAGGGGAGUGUGGAAUUCCCGGGUGUAGCGGUGAAAUGCGCAGAUAUCGGGAGGAACACCCGUGGCGAAGGCGGCUCUCUGGGACGGUACUGGACGCUGAGACGCG
rnacentral:rRNA from 1 species